GGGAAUCAGGAUGGAGUAGCCUUCAUCGCGCCCUGCAUUUUGGUCAUCUUGCUGUUGCUAGCAUCCUUCUCCAGUCUGGUGUUUCUAGCACUCUGGAAGAUACGAAAUCUAGGACUCCCAUUGAUUUGUUAUCAGGACCUGAUUUACAGGGCAUUGAAAAGAAUAAUUCAGCUGCUACAGAGGUUUUCAGUUGGGGCAGUGGUGUAAAUUAUCAACUAGGGACUGGAAACGCACAUAUUCAAAAGUUACCCUGCAAAGUUGAUUCUCUCCAUGGAUCAGUCAUCAAGUUGGUUUCUGCAGCAAAAUUUCAUAGUGCCGCCGUUACUGCCCGUGGAGAACUCUAUACUUGGGGUUUUGGAAGAGGAGGCCGUCUUGGGCACCCUGACUUUGAUAUACAUAGC
rnacentral:misc_RNA from 1 species